ACUCAUCAACUUGUAAGAGAGCUGGGGUUCUCCUAGAUCCAUGCUCGCACUGAGCCACAUCUGGGGCUCCGUCCCUGCAGCCAAGGCUCCCUGGCGCUGUCCUUGGUGCUGACGCGGUUCUGGAAGUGCGGUGCCAGGGUGGCUGGUGCGGCUCCCGAUGGAAAAGCCCCACCAACCCCACAAAGCAGACUCGGGAGAGAACACGCCACCGUCUUUAGCGAAUCUUACCAACCCAGGGCCAAAGCGCCCUGCACCCCAGAGCAGCACUCGUGGUGGGAACACAGGCUGAUGUAAUAAACAGAAAAGUGACUGCGGGGGAUGGGGAAGGC
rnacentral:lncRNA from 1 species